UGGGGAAUUUUGCACAAUGGGGGAAACCCUGAUGCAGCGACGCCGCGUGAUUUAGAAGGCCUUCGGGUUGUAAAAAUCUUUUCUAUGGGAAGAAAAUGACAGUACCAUAGGAAUAAGGACCGGCUAAUUACGUGCCAGCAGCCGCGGUAAUACGUAAGGUCCGAGCGUUGUCCGGAAUCAUUGGGCGUAAAGGGUACGUAGGCGGGUAAGCAAGUUAGAAGUGAAAUCCUAUAGCUCAACUAUAGUAAGCUUUUAAAACUGCUCAUCUUGAGGUAUGGAAGGGAAAGUGGAAUUCCUAGUGUAGCGGUGAAAUGCGCAGAUAUUAGGAGGAAUACCGGUGGCGAAGGCGACUUCCUGGCCAUAACCUGACGCUGAGGUACUAAAGCGUGGGUAGCAAACAGG
rnacentral:rRNA from 1 species